CAAACACAUGUAUCUCAAUAAGAUCUACGAAAAAGUCAAUGUGAGCGUAUCUGUUCAAUGUACGGUUAAAGGGCUAUUUCGCAUUUUUGGCCGAUUCGCACACAUUGGAAUGUGGCUAACUCCUCCUAAAUCUUUUGUCCCAUCGGCUUCAAAUUUGCUCAGGUCAAUCUACACCCCAUGGCCAUUCAAAGUUGUACAAAUCAUGACACUGCACCCCACAGUUUACGUUCUAGGGGGCGCCAAAGAGGACCCAAAUAUCCACAUUUUUAAAAGUCUUAUAACUUUUUAUUUUUGUCCUCACUGGCCUCCAAGUUUUCUAGGAUGAUGCAAUGUCCAGCCAUCAACACAUUUGUGAAGGAAUUUUUACUCCCCAAAAGAGCGCCCCCCCAUGGCAGGAGAAAAAGUCAAGUUUUCCUGCCCAUCGCUCAAUGGCUCAAACGCAUCGCUCUCUCGGCAAAACCGAAAGGAGGAGCAACUUGCCAUUUGGAUAUAUACUAGCUGUGUUUGUGCCCUCACUCAUGGUCCAGACUUUUUUCAAAAAGGACAUGGAGUUUGUCUGCAGCGAGCGUUUUGGUAGAAACUGCGCCUCCCAUUCAUUAUAAUGGUAAAUGACCACAGACAAGUGCGCACACCAUCUUUGGACCUUGAGUGUGACGCGAUCGGGAGGGGUAGGCGGUCGCGCUGGGGGCGGCACGACACGGCUCGGGCCCGCCAGUGCCCCAACGGGGCCCUAGUUAUUUUUCUGCCCCUUUGAACUGGAAAAUGGCCCACUUCCCACUGGUGAAAAGUCAUGAAAUUUGGCAGGACGACCGGGCCUGGUGAAAAAUUCGAUAUUCUGAAGUCGCCCAAAAAAUCAAAUGCAAAAUGGCUCCAUAGCGCCCCCUAAGGUGAAAAAUUCACAUGAUUGAGUGUCACGCCUGUACGCUUUGUCAAAAUGACACAAAAUUUGACACACACGUGUAUCUCAAUAAGAUCUACAAAAAAGUCAGUGCGGGCGUAUCUGUCAAAUGUACGGUUAAAGGGCUAUUUAGCAUUUUUUGCCGAUCCGCACACAUUGGAAUUUCGCUAACUCCUCCGAAGGCUUUCGUUCCACCGGCACCAAAUUUGCUCAGGCCAAUCUACACCCCAUGGCCAUUAAAAGUUGUACAAAUCAUGACGCUGCAUCCCACGGUUUACGUUCUAGGGGGCGCCAAAGAUAACCCAGAAAUCCACAUUCUUAAAAGUCGUAUAACUUUUUAUUUUUGUCCUCACUGGCCUCCAAGUUUUCUAGGAUGAUGCAAUGUCCAGCCAUCAACACAUUUGUGAAGGAAUUUUUACUCCCCAAAAGAGCGCCCCCCCAUGGCAGGAGAAAAAAGUCCAUUUUUUCUUGUCUCCUAAGGCGAAAAUUCACACUAUUGACUGUCACGCCUUUACGCUUUGUCAUAUUGACACAAAAAUUGACACACACAUGUAUCUCAAUAAGAUCUACAAAAAAGUCAGUGCGGGCGUAUCUGUCAAAUGUACGGUGAAAGGGCUAUUUCGCAUUUUUUGCCGAUCCGCACACAUUGGAAUUUCGCUAACUCCUCCGAAGGCUUUCGUUCCAAAGGCACCACAUUUGCUGAGGCCAAUCUACACCCCAUGGCCAUUAAAAGUUGUACAAAUCAUGACGCUGCACCCCACGGUUUACGUUCUAGGGGGCGCCAAAGAUAACCCAAAAAUCCACAUAUUUAAAAGUCUUAUAACUUUUUAUUUUUGUCCUCACUGGCCUCCAAGUUCUCUAGGAUGAUGCAAUGUCCAGCCAUCAACACAUUUGUGAAGGAAUUUUUACUCGCCAAAAGAGCGCCCCCCCAUGGCAGGAGAAAAAAGUCCAUUUUUUCUUGUCUCCUAAGGCGAAAAUACACAUUGUUGACUGUCACGCCUUUACGCUUUGUCAAAAUGACACAAAAUUUGACACACACAUGUAUCUCAAUAAGAUCUACAAAAAAGUCAGUGCGGGCGUAUCUGUCAAAUGUACGGUUAAAGGGUUAUUUCGCAUUUUUUGCCGAUCCGCACACAUUGGAAUUUCGCUAACUCCUCCUAAAUCUUUUGUCCCAUCGGCUUCAAAUUUGCUCAGGUCAAUCUACACCCCAUGGCCAUUCAAAGUUGUACAAAUCAUGACGCUGCACCCCACAGUUUACGUUCUAGGGGGCGCCAAAGAGGACCCAAAUAUCCACAUUUUUAAAAGUCUUAUAACUUUUUAUUUUUGUCCUCACUGGCCUCCAAGUUUUCUAGGAUGAUGCAAUGUCCAGC
rnacentral:lncRNA from 1 species